GACGAACGCUGGCGGCGUGCUUAACACAUGCAAGUCGAACGUGAUUUUUGUGGAAAUUCUUUCGGGAAUGGAAAUGAAAUGAAAGUGGCGAACGGGUGAGUAACACGUGAGCAACCUACCUUACACAGGGGGAUAGCCGUUGGAAACGACGAUUAAUACCGCAUGAGACCACAGAAUCGCAUGAUAUAGGGGUCAAAGAUUUAUCGGUGUAAGAAGGGCUCGCGUCUGAUUAGCUAGUUGGAAGGGUAAAGGCCUACCAAGGCGACGAUCAGUAGCCGGUCUGAGAGGAUGAACGGCCACAUUGGAACUGAGACACGGUCCAAACUCCUACGGGAGGCAGCAGUGGGGAAUAUUGCACUAUGGGGGGAACCCUGAUGCAACUACGGUGCGUCAGUUAAGAAAGUUUUUCAAUCGGUUAGCUUUGUCCUAAGUUAAGAUCAUGACCGUAUUUUAAGAGGGAGCUUCGGUUUAUUUU
rnacentral:rRNA from 1 species